rnacentral:rRNA from 1 species
AUUGAACGCUGGCGGCAUGCUUUACACAUGCAAGUCGAACGGUAACAGGUUAAGCUGACGAGUGGCGAACGGGUGAGUAAUGCAUCGGAACGUGCCCAGUCGUGGGGGACAACGCAGCGAAAGCUGCGCUAAUACCGCAUACGAUCUGAGGAUGAAAGCGGGGGACCGUAAGGCCUCGCGCGAUCGGAGCGGCCGAUGUCAGAUUAGGUAGUUGGUGGGGUAAAGGCUCACCAAGCCGACGAUCUGUAGCUGGUCUGAGAGGACGACCAGCCACACUGGGACUGAGACACGGCCCAGACUCCUACGGGAGGCAGCAGUGGGGAAUUUUGGACAAUGGGCGCAAGCCUGAUCCAGCAAUGCCGCGUGCAGGAAGAAGGCCUUCGGGUUGUAAACUGCUUUUGUACGGAGCGAAAAGGCUCUCUCUAAUACAGGGGGCUCAUGACGGUACCGUAAGAAUAAGCACCGGCUAACUACGUGCCAGCCGCCGCGGUAA